rnacentral:rRNA from 1 species
GUGGGGAAUAUUGGACAAUGGGCGAAAGCCUGAUCCAGCCAUGCCGCGUGUGUGAAGAAGGUCUUCGGAUUGCAAAGCACUUUAAGUUGGGAGGAAGGGCAGUCAGUUAAUACCUUGCUGUUUUGACGUUACCGACAGAAUAAGCACCGGCUAACUUCGUGCCAGCAGCCGCGGUAAUACGAAGGGUGCAAGCGUUAAUCGGAAUUACUGGGCGUAAAGCGCGCGUAGGUGGUUUUGUAAGUUGGAGGUGAAAUCCCCGGGCUCAACCUGGGAACUGCCUCCAAAACUGGAUGACUAGAGUACGGUAGAGGGUAGUGGAAUUUCCUGUGUAGCGGUGAAAUGCGUAGAUAUAGGAAGGAACACCAGUGGCGAAGGCGACUACCUGGACUGAUACUGACACUGAGGUGCGAAAGCGUGGGGAGCAAACAGGAUUAGAAACCCUGGUAGUCC